rnacentral:rRNA from 1 species
UUCCGGUUGAUCCUGCCGGAGGCGACCGCUUUUGGAGUUCGAUUAAGCCAUGCGAGUCGAGAGCUUUCGGAGCUCGGCAUACUGCUCAGUAACACGUGGAUAACCUGCCCUAUUGUCUGGAAUAACCUCGGGAAACUGAGAACAAUGCCGGAUAGCCCACAAUGCCUGGAGCGGUUUGUGGGUGAAGAUAGGAUGGGUCUGCGGCGUAUCAGGUCGUAGGGGGUGUAAUGGACCUCCUAGCCAUCGACGCGUACGGGUGUUGGGAGACAUAGCCCGGAGAUGGAUUCUGAGACACGAAUCCAGACCCUACGGGGUGCAGCAGGCGCGAAAACUUCACACUGCAGGAAACUGUGAUGAGGGAACUCCAAGUGCUAUCACUAUGUGGUAGCUUUUCUUAACUAUUAAUCGGUUUUGGAAUAAGGGCUGGGAAAGACCGGUGCCAGCCGCCGCGGUAAUACCGGCAGCUCAAGUGGUCGUCACUUUUAUUGGGCCUAAAACGUCCGCAGCCUGUUUGGUAAAUCUGUGGGUAAAUCAACCAGCUUAACUGGUUGAAUUCUGCAGAGACUGCCAGACUAGGGACCGGGAGAGGUGUGGGGUACUCUAGGGGUAGGGGUAAAAUCCUGUCAUCCUUAGAGGACCACCAGUUGCGAAGGCGCCACACUGGAACGGAUCCGACGGUCAGGGACGAAGCCUAGGGGCACGAACCGGAUUAGAUACCCGGGUAGUCCUAGGUGUAAACGCUGUGAACUUGGUGUCGGGGAUCCGUAAUGGGUUCUCGGUGCCGGAGUGAAGAUGUUAAGUUCACUGCCUGGGGAGUACGGUCGCAAGGCUGAAACUUAAAGGAAUUGGCGGGGCAGCAC